rnacentral:rRNA from 1 species
AGAGUUUGAUCCUGGCUCAGGAUGAACGCUGGCGGCGUGCCUAAUACAUGCAAGUCGAGCGAACGGACGAGAAGCUUGCUUCUCUGAUGUUAGCGGCGGACGGGUGAGUAACACGUGGAUAACCUACCUAUAAGACUGGGAUAACUUCGGGAAACCGGAGCUAAUACCGGAUAAUAUUUUGAACCGCAUGGUUCAAAAGUGAAAGACGGUCUUGCUGUCACUUAUAGAUGGAUCCGCGCUGCAUUAGCUAGUUGGUAAGGUAACGGCUUACCAAGGCAACGAUGCAUAGCCGACCUGAGAGGGUGAUCGGCCACACUGGAACUGAGACACGGUCCAGACUCCUACGGGAGGCAGCAGUAGGGAAUCUUCCGCAAUGGGCGAAAGCCUGACGGAGCAACGCCGCGUGAGUGAUGAAGGUCUUCGGAUCGUAAAACUCUGUUAUUAGGGAAGAACAUAUGUGUAAGUAACUGUGCACAUCUUGACGGUACCUAAUCAGAAAGCCACGGCUAACUACGUGCCAGCAGCCGCGGUAAUACGUAGGUGGCAAGCGUUAUCCGGAAUUAUUGGGCGUAAAGCGCGCGUAGGCGGUUUUUUAAGUCUGAUGUGAAAGCCCACGGCUCAACCGUGGAGGGUCAUUGGAAACUGGAAAACUUGAGUGCAGAAGAGGAAAGUGGAAUUCCAUGUGUAGCGGUGAAAUGCGCAGAGAUAUGGAGGAACACCAGUGGCGAAGGCGACUUUCUGGUCUGUAACUGACGCUGAUGUGCGAAAGCGUGGGGAUCAAACAGGAUUAGAUACCCUGGUAGUCCACGCCGUAAACGAUGAGUGCUAAGUGUUAGGGGGUUUCCGCCCCUUAGUGCUGCAGCUAACGCAUUAAGCACUCCGCCUGGGGAGUACGACCGCAAGGUUGAAACUCAAAGGAAUUGACGGGGACCCGCACAAGCGGUGGAGCAUGUGGUUUAAUUCGAAGCAACGCGAAGAACCUUACCAAAUCUUGACAUCCUUUGACAACUCUAGAGAUAGAGCCUUCCCCUUCGGGGGGCAAAGUGACAGGUGGUGCAUGGUUGUCGUCAGCUCGUGUCGUGAGAUGUUGGGUUAAGUCCCGCAACGAGCGCAACCCUUAAGCUUAGUUGCCAUCAUUAAGUUGGGCACUCUAAGUUGACUGCCGGUGACAAACCGGAGGAAGGUGGGGAUGACGUCAAAUCAUCAUGCCCCUUAUGAUUUGGGCUACACACGUGCUACAAUGGACAAUACAAAGGGCAGCGAAACCGCGAGGUCAAGCAAAUCCCAUAAAGUUGUUCUCAGUUCGGAUUGUAGUCUGCAACUCGACUACAUGAAGCUGGAAUCGCUAGUAAUCGUAGAUCAGCAUGCUACGGUGAAUACGUUCCCGGGUCUUGUACACACCGCCCGUCACACCACGAGAGUUUGUAACACCCGAAGCCGGUGGAGUAACCUUUUAGGAGCUAGCCGUCGAAGGUGGGACAAAUGAUUGGGGUGAAGUCGUAACAAGGUAGCCGUAUCGGAAGGUGCGGCUG